UACGAAGGGUGCAAGCGUUACUCGGAAUUACUGGGCGUAAAGCGUGCGUAGGUGGUGAGUUAAGUCUGUCGUGAAAGCCCCGGGCUCAACCUGGGAAUGGCGAUGGAUACUGGCUCGCUAGAGUGCGGUAGAGGAGAGUGGAAUUCCCGGUGUAGCAGUGAAGUGCGUAGAGAUCGGGAGGAACAUCAGUUGCGAAGGCGGCUCUCUGGACCAGCACUGACACUGAGGCACGAAAGCGUGGGGAGCAAACAGG
rnacentral:rRNA from 1 species